UACGGAGGAUGCGAGCGUUAUCCGGAUUUAUUGGGUUUAAAGGGAGCGUAGACGGCCGUUUAAGUCAGCUGUGAAAUGGUGCGGCUCAACCGUAGCACUGCAGUUGAAACUGGUCGGCUUGAGUGCAGUUGAGGCAGGCGGAAUUCGUGGUGUAGCGGUGAAAUGCUUAGAUAUCACGAAGAACCCCGAUUGCGAAGGCAGCCUGCUAAGCUGCAACUGACGUUGAGGCUCGAAAGUGUGGGUAUCAAAC
rnacentral:rRNA from 1 species